rnacentral:tRNA from 2 species
UCCGGAGUAGCUCAGUUGGUAGAGCGAGUGGCUGUUAACCACCAGGUCGGGGGUUCGAGUCCCUCCUCCGGAGC